rnacentral:rRNA from 1 species
AUUGAACGCUGGCGGCAGGCCUAACACAUGCAAGUCGAGCGGAGCGGCGGACGGGUGAGUAAAGCCUAGGACUCUGCCUGGUCGUGGGGGAUAACGUCCGGACACGGGCGCUAAUACCACAUACGAUCAGAUGAGCCUAGGUCGGAUUAGCUAGUUGGUGGGGUAAAGGCCUCACACGUCGACGAUCCGUAACUGGUCUGAGAGGAUGAUCAGUCACACUGGAACUGAGACACGGCCCAGACUCCUACGGGAGUCAGCAGUGGGGAAUAUUGGAAAAUGGGCGAAAGCCGGAUCCAGCCAUGCCGCGUGUGUGAAGAAGGGCUUCGGAUUGUAAAGCACUUUAAGUUGGGAGGCGGUACCAACAGAAUAAGCACCGGCUAACGUCGUGCCAGCAGCCGCGGUAAUUC